rnacentral:rRNA from 1 species
CAGCCGCCGCGGGAAUACGAAGGGGGCUAGCGUUGUUCGGAUUUACUGGGCGUAAAGGGCGCGUAGGCGGACUGAUAAGUCAGGGGUGAAAUCCCAAGGCUCAACCUUGGAACUGCCUUUGAUACUGUUUGUCUUGAGUUCGAGAGAGGUAAGUGGAACUGCGAGUGUAGAGGUGAAAUUCGUAGAUAUUCGCAAGAACACCAGUGGCGAAGGCGGCUUACUGGCUCGAAACUGACGCUGAGGCGCGAAAGCGUGGGGAGCGAACAGGAUUAGAUACCCCCGUAGUCCCUGUCUCUUAUAC